rnacentral:lncRNA from 1 species
GGUGGAUUUUGGGAUCAAAACCCCCGGAUGCUACCUUAGGAGUGGUCUGAGUUGUAGAGGUUACAAGCAGAUUUUUAAGGACAAAACGAGGAGGUGUGGCAAGGCAGUCCCAGCCUGUUCACCUAGAGGGCACCUCCUUAACAGAGGUGAGCUGAUGGAUGAUCAGCCCAGCUGAAGGCUCCCGUGCUUCUGGGAAUAGUCACUGUGAGCAUGUGGUCAGCCCAUUGCUGGAAUCAUUCCCAUGAGCAGGAGGGAUCAAGGAAUUUCAGGGGCUGGCUGUGGCCUCCUGCCCCUUCCCUUAAUUGACUGAACCUCUGAUUGUCCCAUUUCAUUUUCAGGUUCUUGGCCAUAAAAUACUGCUUUUGGAAAAAUAAAGCUGAGAGUCGCGGUGGGGGUGGGGGGCUUCCCCAUCUGUGAACACAGCAGGAGUUUGGAACCGCCUUCUUUACUGCUAGAGAGCCAAAACUCGAGUGAAAACCAGGAUGCUGGCAAAUGUGGAGUGUCUAAGCUACACGGGAAAUCUGAACUCGGAAGCAGGGCUCCGCGAAGCUGCGGGAAACCACCCAAAGUCACCCCCUGGAGUAGUGGUGAAAUAAACAAGGCACAUGUACCCCUGGAAAUACCAUACAGCCAUUAUGGAUGAGGAAGAAUACCCAAGACCUGUUUAUUGUUAGAAAAAAAGACCUGGAAUGACAAAUUGAUAUUGUUUACACAUAAAAAUUAGUGUCCCCAUCUGUAUGGAUGCAAAGGCACAGAAAAGCAGCC